CAAGCAGAGGAGGAACGUUGAAGGUGCACCUGGACAAAGAGAAGCAGAGG
rnacentral:sRNA from 1 species